rnacentral:tRNA from 1 species
GCGCCUGUGGCCCAAUGGAUAAGGCAACGGCCUCCGGAGCCGUAGAUAGGGGUUCAACUCCCCUCGGGCGUACCA